rnacentral:misc_RNA from 1 species
GGAAGCUAUGAAAGACGAUGAUUACAGUGGCUACACAAUGUAUUUAUGGGAAUUUUGAUCAGCAAACUCAGCUCGUUAUGUACUUCUGCAGAAUCCAAGUAUCCCCAUUUAGACUGUGAUUCUAUAUUUUCAGAUUUUCACAAGGUACUGUAGAGUCCAAAAUUCAAAGCAUAUUGGUGCUUAUACGAGCGAUUCUCUGAGCUUCUUCAAGGUCCUUCAAGAAUCUUUUAGAAUUUAGAAGGGAAGAACCACCAAGUAUAAAACGAAUGCCAGAGUUCGUAGAGUUCUGUAGAGCAACCG